AAGCCUACAGAUGAUUGUCACCCCUCCUGACUUCCUGACUGCAACCACAUGAGGUUAUAAGAAGCUGACGAUCCAUCCCUGAGGGAGAACUGUUCCUGAAAAGCCAAUAUGCCUGGGGCUGUGGGAGCCCUGAAGUCUGUCCUGAGUUUUACUCUGAUUGAUGAAUCAGCAUCUUCAUAA